rnacentral:lncRNA from 12 species
AUCUGUUCUGGAUUUUCUGGAGCUCUGGUUUCAAAUAUUCCAGUCUAGUGCUCCCAGAAGGACAUGUGUGUUCGGAGGGGCCUGGCAACUGGGGUUCAGGAAGCCCAGCCCCCAGAGCCCUGGGCUCUAACAGAGUUCACCCCUGCAGUGCCCUUUGGAAACAGAGAAGGGACACCUGGGGGGCUCAGCUGAGCACCUGCCUUGGGCUCAGGUCAUGAUCCCUGAGUCCCAGGAUCGAGUCCCGCGUCGGGGCCCCCCUGCAUGGAGCCUGCUUCUCCCUCUGCCUGUGUCUCUGCCUCUCUCUCUCUGUGUGUCUCAUGAAUAAAUAAAUUAAAACAAAACAGAAUAAAACAAAGAAAAUCAAAAAUGAAAAAAAAAAAAAAAAACAACCCUCAUUGGGGUUUCCGAAGUCCCUGUCCUUAAGUGUAGGGCUCUCACACUCCCUGCCCUCUCCAGGGAGCCGAAGGGUCACCUCUUGAGGGAACCCUGAACCCCGGACUGGGCCAGAAUCCUCCGGAGUCUCCGCAGCAGGCCCCAAGGUCUCCUGGGCCCGGAGCGCAGGCCCCGCUUGGAGCGCGGGCACAGCGGGGGCUCGGCGCCCUCUAGUGGGAGUCGGCGGGAAGACAGGCGGCAGGGCCGCGGGGGAAGCCUGAGCAGGCGAGGCGAGCCCAGCCCAGGCAGUUUUUCUUCCAGAUUUUCCUUCCUCCGCCUCGGGGGAGGGCACGGCCAGCGCACAUCUGCUUCCACGCUGACCCGCGGGCGGACUCCGGUGCCUCCCACGGAUCCAGUCCGGGGAACGACCUUCAAUCCAUAACAAGUCCCAGAAACCUUGCAACUUUUUUUUUUUUUUUUUUUUCUGAACGGCCCCUCUCUCCGCCUCCAAGAAAAACAACGAAGUUGGGUUUUUGGGAAGCCUUUGCUCCCUUGAUGUGUUUCGCACAUGGUUCUCCUGGUUCAGAGAACUUUCAAGUCUGGGCAUCAAAUCCGGGCACAGCCCUUUCGGACAGGAGGUCUGAAACCGAGGCAGGGGUCCCUUUCAAGCGUGAAGUCCACUCUGCAGAGCGCGCAGGUGCAUGGACUGGGCGCCCCUGACGCCUGCAGCAGAAGCGUCCAGCCCGAGCUCGUGGGCAUGUCCCGAGCGGGGCCUACAUUUCCCUCUGAAUUAAAAACGAUCAUUAAAACAGGACUUCAGCACUACAUAAAAGUGAUUAGUAUGUGUUUAUCAACAUAUGUUUUGCACAGUUCCUUUCUGUGUGGUUUUAGAUACUGA